rnacentral:rRNA from 1 species
CGGGGACCCGCACAAGUAGCGGAGCAUGUGGUUUAAUUCGAAGCAACGCGAAGAACCUUACCUAAGCUUGACAUCCCAAUGACAUCUCCUUAAUCGGAGAGUUCCCUUCGGGGACAUUGGUGACAGGUGGUGCAUGGUUGUCGUCAGCUCGUGUCGUGAGAUGUUGGGUUAAGUCCCGCAACGAGCGCAACCCUUGUCUUUAGUUGCCAUCAUUAAGUUGGGCACUCUAGAGAGACUGCCAGGGAUAACCUGGAGGAAGGUGGGGAUGACGUCAAAUCAUCAUGCCCCUUAUGCUUAGGGCUACACACGUGCUACAAUGGGUAGUACAGAGGGUUGCCAAGCCGUAAGGUGGAGCUAAUCCCUUAAAGCUACUCUCAGUUCGGAUUGUAGGCUGAAACUCGCCUACAUGAAGCUGGAGUUACUAGUAAUCGCAGAUCAGAAUGCUGCGGUGAAUGCGUUCCCGGGUCUUGUACACACCGCCCGUCACACCACGGGAGUUGGAGACGCCCGAAGCCGAUUAUCUAACCUUUUGGAAGAAGUCGUCGAAGGUGGAAUCAAUAACUGGGGUGAAGUCGUAACAAGGUAGCCGUAUCGGAAGGUGCGGCUGGAUCACCUCCUUUCUAAGGA